rfam:Picea glauca, whole genome shotgun sequence.
GCGCAGCUUAGGUGGAAGGUGAAGAAGGCUCCCUCUCGGGGGGGCCUGAGCCACCAGUGAGAUACCACUCUGGAAGAGAUAGAAUUCUAACCUUGUGUCAGGACCUACAGGCCAAGGGAUAGUCUCAGGUAGACAGUUUCUAUGGGGUGUAGGCCUCCCAAAAGGUAACGGAGGCGUGCAAAGGUUUCCUCAGGCCAGAUGGAAAUCGACCCUCGAGUGCAAAGGCAUAAGGGAGCUUGACUGCAAGACCCACCCGUCGAGCAGGGACAAAAUUCGGCCUUAGUGAUCCAAUAGUGUCGAGUGGAAGGGCUAUCUCUCAAUGGAUAAAAGUUACUCUAGGGAUAACAGGUUGAUCUUCCCCAAGAGUUCACAUCGACGGGAAGGUUUGGCACCUCGAUGUCAGCUCUUCGCCACCUGGGGCGGUAGUAUGUUCCAAGGGUUGGGUUGUUCGCCCAUUAAAGAGGUACGUGAGCUGGGUUCAGAAUGUCGUGAGACAGUUCGGUCCAUAUCCGGUGUGGGCAUUAGAGCAUUGAGAUGACCUUUCCCUAGUACGAGAGGACCGGGAAGGACGCACCUCUGGUGUACCAUUUAUCAUGCCCAUGAUAGACGCUGGGUAGCCAAGUGCAGAGCAGAUAACUACUGAAAGAAUAUAAGUAGGAAGCCCACCCCAAGAUGAGUGCUCUCCUAUUCUUACUUCACUAAGAGACCUAGUUGCGAACAUGGCUGGUACAAAGACGAGUUAUCUGUCCUUGCAAGGGAUGGAGCGACAAAAGUAUUGAGAAUCCAAGAUAAGGUCACGGUGAGACGAGCCAUUUAUCAUUACGAUAGGUGUCAAGUGGAAGUGCAGUGAUGUAUGCAGCAAAGGCAUCCUAACAGACCAAGAGAUUUGAACCU